UAUAUUUAAGUGUUUGAUGCACAGAGAAUUUUGAAUUCUCUAGCUAUGGUUUAAUUCCAUAAAAUAUAA
rnacentral:tRNA from 1 species